rnacentral:rRNA from 1 species
UACGUAGGGGGCUAGCGUUGUCCGGAAUCAUUGGGCGUAAAGAGCGCGUAGGCGGCCAGAUAAGUCCGGUGUGAAAGUCAGAGGCUCAACCUUUGAAUGCCGCUGGAAACUGUCUGGCUAGAGUCCGGAAGGGGCGAGUGGAAUUCCUGGUGCAGCGGUGAAAUGCGCAGAUAUCAGGAGGAACACCCGUGGCGAAAGCGGCUCUCUGGGACGGUACUGACGCUGAGACGCGAAAGCGUGGGGAGCAAACAGG